rnacentral:rRNA from 1 species
UACGUAGGGGGCAAGCGUUGUCCGGAUUUAUUGGGCGUAAAGAGCUCGUAGGCGGCUUGUUGCGUCGUCCGUGAAAACCUGGGGCUCAACUCCAGGCUUGCGGUCGAUACGGGCAGGCUAGAGUUCGGUAGGGGAGACUGGAAUUCCUGGUGUAGCGGUGAAAUGCGUAGAUAUCAAGUGGAACACCAGUGGCGAAGGCGAGUCUCUGGACAUUUCCUGACGCUGAGGCACGAAAGCCAGGGGAGCAAACGGG